UGCAUGGUGGCGCAGUUGGUAGCACUAUUGCCUUGCAGCAAGAAGUUUCCUGGGUUCAAUUCCUGGCCUGUGGUCUUUCUGCAU